GGGGUUAAUUUUCAUUCCUAGGCUGCUAUAUGGUCUCAAAGGCAACACAGGCCCAGCAAACCAAUCUGGCAAAUUUCAAUGUGCAAACAUGGAAAAGGGGCAAGCCCUACAUUUGACCCCUGUAAGUUUGCAAAAGCCCAUAAAACCUGUACAUUGGGGGCACUGUUGUACUCGGGAGAUGUUGCUGAACACAUAUUGGGGGUUUCUUCGUCAGUAACACAAAACAGGAACUGAGAAUCCAUACCUGAAAUACAAUGUGAGAAAAAAAUAACACAAAGAGCCUUGGUCCUUAACGGUAAGAAAAUUGGAAAACGGUCUGGUCACUAAGGGGUUAAACAAUAGCUGGAUACUAAUUUCUGAAAAAUAGAAUAUUUAAAGAUAUAUUAGUGAAUGUAUAUUAUAAUAGUUUGUUGAUCUGCUAUUGGAGAAACAGCAAUAGUAGAUGUGUGAAUGAUUGUGGCUGACCAUGACUUUCAGCCAAUAUUACAGUCUAACUAUGAAAGCAGAGAAAAUAUUUUGUUUUAUGUUUGCAUUAGCCAGACUUUAUCCAGCUUUCUGCAAAAAGUAC